rnacentral:rRNA from 1 species
GUGGGGAAUAUUGCGCAAUGGGGGAAACCCUGACGCAGCGACGCCGUGUGAGGGAAGAAGGCUUUCGGGUCGUAAACCUCUGUCAGAAAGGAAGAACCUCCUAAGUCCGAAUAGGGCUUGGGACUGACGGUACUUUCAAAGGAAGCACCGGCUAACUCCGUGCCAGCAGCCGCGGUAAUACGGAGGGUGCAAGCGUUAAUCGGAAUCACUGGGCGUAAAGCGCGCGUAGGCCGCUUUGUAAGUCGGACGUGAAAGCCCUCGGCUCAACCGGGGAACUGCGUUCGAUACUGCGAGGCUUGAGUCCUGGAGAGGGUGGCGGAAUUCCGGGUGUAGGAGUGAAAUCCGUAGAUAUCCGGAGGAACACCGGUGGCGAAGGCGGCCACCUGGACAGGUACUGACGCUGAGGCGCGAAAGCGUGGGGAGCAAACAGGAUUAGAAACCCCAGUAGUCC